UGGGGCGUAGCCAAGCUGGCAAGGCAGCGGCCUUUGGAGCCGCCAUUCGGAGGUUCGAAUCCUCCCGCCCCAG
rnacentral:tRNA from 1 species